UACAGUGUACUUACAUAUAAUAAAUAAAUAAAUCUUUUAAAAAAAAAAAAAAAAAAAAGACAGACAACAUUGUAGCAUGACCCCAGACAAUUCUGAGACUGAAGGCAAAUUUUUAUUUUCCAAGCUACUUUUUAUACCAUUUUAAUUACAUGCAAGUAUUUUGGGCAAGCAGUAUAAUAAGGAACUAACAAAGCAGCAAGCUAAGUCCACUCCCAUGACAGUUGUUUAAAAGGGCUUGUCAUAAUGGCUGAAAUACUUGAGCCCAUUUCCUCAUCCAACCCCAAAAAUCUUGCCUGAAGCCCAGUUCUUCUGUUCCACACUAAAACUAAAAUUCUUGCCUUACUUUACUUCUCUAUUACAGCCUAAAGUUAUAUUCUUGCACUUCCUUAUUAUGCCCUAAUGUCAGAUUCCUGCCUGAAGCCCUUUUCCUUGUCCUUGGCCAAUGUCAGACUCCUGAUAAGCGGUACCCCAGAAGGCUUUCCACAUAUGUCUGUGUGGGUAUCAGAUCUCCUGGAACUGGGGAUACACAAACUUAUGAGCUACCAUGUGGUUGUUUGGAUUUUGAACCUUGAUCCUCUUGAUUGUUAAUUGAUAUAGGAGGGCUCUGCCCACUACAGGCAACACCAUUCUCUAGUAAGGUGAUCUUCAAGUGUAUAUAAAAGUUCAUGAGUCUUCAUGCCAGCCAACAAGCAGCAACCUCUGUGGUCCCUACCCUACAUCCUCGUGAUGUGAGUUCCAUGGUUGGAUGCGAUGCUGUAUGGAAUAGAAAGCAGGCGUGCCUUCAAGUUCUGUCUUGACUUCCUUCCAUGAUGAAUUGUGAUCUAGCGUUUUAAGUCAGUAAACCUCAGGUUGCUUCUGGCCAGAGUGUUUUAUAACAGAAAUGAAUACAACAGUGCUUAGAAGCCUAGCACUUAGGGGGUGGAGGUAGAAGGAACUUAAAUUUGAGUUUAGCUUACAUUGUUAUGUGAUCUGGUUUUUGUAUUUGAAUGUAGUUCACAGUUCUGGAGACAUCUAAGGUUGGACAGCUGUAACUGCUCAAUUUGGGUCUCACAGUGAUCUGUGGUACAGAGCUAGAAAGGCACACAGUGGUGCAAAAAAAAUAAAGGUGCUAAACUUCCAAGAUAGCGAAUUCAUUUCCUCAAGAAAAGCAUUCUAAAGGCUGGAGAGAUGGUUUAGUAAUUAAGUGAAUAUUGGUCUUGCGGAUCAACAGCCUUUAACUCAGUUCCAGGGAAUUGGAUACCUCUGACUUCCGACUUACCUUCACUCACUUGCACACGUACAUAAUAAAAAAAUCGUAAAACAUGCUUUGUCACUGUUGCAAAUAUCUGAAAUAAAGAUCUUAGAAAAG
rnacentral:lncRNA from 1 species